rnacentral:rRNA from 1 species
CGAACGGGUGAGUAACGCGUGAGGAACCUGCCUCAAAGAGGGGGACAACAGUUGGAAACGACUGCUAAUACCGCAUAAGCCCACGGGUCGGCAUCGACCUGAGGGAAAAGGAGCAAUCCGCUUUGAGAUGGCCUCGCGUCCGAUUAGCUAGUUGGUGAGGUAACGGCCCACCAAGGCGACGAUCGGUAGCCGGACUGAGAGGUUGAACGGCCACAUUGGGACUGAGACACGGCCCAG